GACGAACGCUGGCGGCGUGCUUAACACAUGCAAGUCGAACGAAGUGGCGAACGGGUGAGUAACGCGUAAUCAACCUGCCCUUCAGAGGGGGACAACAGUUGGAAACGACUGCUAAUACCGCAUACUGAAGGAGGGGAUUGCGUCUGAUUAGCUAGUUGGUGGGGUAACGGCCCACAAAGGCGAUGAUCAGUAGCCUGUCUGAGAGGACGACCGGCCACAUUGUGACUGCGACACGGCCCAGACUCCUACGGGAGGCAGCAGUGGGGAAUCUUCCGCAAUGGACGAAAUUCGGACGGAGCAACGCCGCGUGAGUGAUGACGGCCUUCGGGUUGUAAAGCUCUGUUGUUAGAGAAGCGGUAUCUAACCAGAAAGCCACGGCUAACUACGUGCCAGCCGCCGCGGUAAUAC
rnacentral:rRNA from 1 species